AAGGUUCGCCACCCCGGCUCUAGGCUGAUCCUGCAUUGAGCAGGCAGUCGGACUAGAUGGCCUCUAUGGCCCCUUCCAACUCUGUGAUUCUAAAUUACAGUCAGAAGGCUACUGGCUGGAUACUGUGUGGGGUGUGUGUGUGUGUGUAGGAUUUGCAAUAAGAAUAGUUCACCAGUGGACCAGGCUCCCCUCCCUGGCAGUCUUCAAGUAGCAGCUGGAGAAACACUUGUCAGGGAUACUCUAAGCUAAUCCUGCAUUGACCAGGGGGCUGGACUAGAUGGCCUCUAGGGUCCCCUUCCAACUUGAUGAUUCUCUUAUUCUAAAAACACAGAAAAAUAAACAGUAUAAAUGUAGGAAUAUGUAAUAUGUCAAAAAGGAGCUAACACAGAUGACAAACUGUAGGUUGCCAGCCAAAUUCUAUUUCAUAUAGAUCUUCAUUAGGUCAUUUCUGUGUUACUCUGUCUAUUUGAUACGUGGCUUUGCAUCUCACACGGCAGGGAUAUGUGACCUUUUCUUCUGGAUCUUUGUUUUGAAAUAUGUUUCAGAGGGUAACUGUGUUGGUCUGCAGUAGAUGAGCUGGAUUCGAGUCCAGCAGCACCUUAAAGACACACCAGGUUUCUGGGGUAUGAGCUUCCUGGUGUCAGCGCUCCCCUAAUUGUUUUGAAUUGCUAAACGCUGUUUUAAAACUAAAUGAACAAGAUAGCCCAGAAAUGAUUGACAAAGAUCUACUCAAGAUAAAAUUUGGCUAACAAACCCAUAGUUUGUCACCUGUGUUAGCUCCUUUUGGACACAUGUUGUUUGGUAUUUGUACUGUUGGGGGUUUUGUGUUAUGAUAAAGUACAUUAAAGCACCCCAGUUGGAUUCCGACUGUGAAAUAGUUUCGACAAUGUAAAUGGAAUGUUUGCAAUUAUACACUUGUCAUAUGGGUUCUCGUGAUGUUUUCUGUUUGCAAUACCGCCCUCUUUUUUGACCUAUGCUCUUGUCCUUGUAUACUUCAUUUUUGCAUUUCUUGAGGGUUCCCCUCUUCUUUUUCUCCAUUGAGCCUCCAGGAUGGCCAGGUUCACAGUGCGGGAAGUGGGUGGGUGGGCUCACCCCCGCCCUCUCAGGUCAAAGGGACAGAGACUUAGCUCCCCGUUAAGAAGGAAUCUCCCUCCUACUCUCAACUACCCUACAGCCAGCAUACCAGUAACCACGCUGGCUCACUAGGAGUGUUGUGUGGCUGCAAAGUGCUUUUUCUCCAAUGCCCUCCUCCCCCCCCCCCCCCCAGCAAAGUGCAAAAUGUGAGUUGUAAUUUUGCUGAAAUAAAGAGUUUCUCUGCAGUGAAA